rnacentral:rRNA from 2 species
CACCGCGGUUAUACGAGGAGUCCAAGCAGAUAGGUAACGGCGUAAAGCGUGGCUAAGGAGACACUAAAAAUAAAGCGGAACACCCUCAAUGCUGUCAUACGUAAGCGAGAUUAAAUAAAGACAUCUACGAAAGUGGCUUUACACCCGCCCCGACCCACGAAAGCUUUGGCA